AUGUUUGUGGAGCCGCCGCCAAUCAAGGGCUUCGUUGCCAGGGUAACCGGGACACUUCAUCAGCUCUGAGAACAGAUGGUCAGUGAGUAACAGGCAGCAUAUGUUCCCGUAAGCCCUGACACGGGCACAGAUGGAGGGUGGGCGGGAGGCUCUCCUCCCUUCCCAUGGGUGCGGCAUUGCCGAGAGGCACAGAGGCCAGGGGAGCCCGCGUGGUGCUGGUGAGUGCAGAUUACUAACACGCCAGGGCCGCUCCCAGCCUGGCUUAACCAGAGCGCUGCACUGUUAACAACACCGGGCACACAGGGCCGCGCGCUGAGCUGAAUCGCAUCCAGGAAUCCUCACUAGCAGCCUGCCCACCUUCCAGUGUCACUGUCUCAGGCCUCUGGUUUCUGUGGAUGUUUGCAGGAGAAAUCAAACUGCCCUUUACAGGACCAAAGGAGAAUCUGAUGUCUUCCGGGCAUGGAGGUGGGGGUCCCAGAGGGUGCGGCCUCAAAGCCUAUCAAAGUCAAUAUACACAGGUUCGCGUGCGCUGGCCACUGGCUGGUGUGACAAAUGAUUCGUCUCUCAGACCUUGUAUUCCCUGUAUUUGAUUUGGCCCCCCCAAAAUGAGGUCCCCAGUCUCUCCACUGUCACCAACAUGAGGAUAGCUCAGGGAGCAAGGAUCUUGGUGAUUUCAUCGUCGAUUGCCAGCAUGAUUAAAGCAACUGCCUUUCACCAAACAUCUACUAUACCCAGACCCUCGAUACACCUCUGGGAUCCCAUCUCUGCUGGCCAGCAAGGGUGGAGGAGGUGUCUAGCCUGGCUCUGAGUUCUACGCCCAGCUGGGCUCCAGGGAGGCGGUCUUGUGGUCACAGGCCACAGGGCAGGCCUGGCUGUGUCUGCACUGGGGCUAUGCUGUGGCCAGGAGAAGCCAGGCACCCUUUCUCCCGUGGACAGUCCUGCCAGCUUCAGAGAAGCCCUGGGCUCCUUUCUCCAGUGUCUGCUGGUCCUGGUGCAGCUCUGUCCGGAGUGGGCACAGCUUCCCAGCUCCCAUUAUGUCUCUGGUCUCUAAUCUCAGGCCUGUCUGUGCUCUACACGAGUCUGCCUGGUUCACCAGGCCCCACAAAUUCACUGCUCACCGGUACCCAAUACAAGCACAGCUCUGACCCUCUGGGGUCCUGUAACAAUCUUCAGUUGGAUCCUAUCCCAUCCCAGGAAUCUCCACAGCAGAUUUCUGCUUGGGCUGGAUGUGUUCCAGUCCUGAGCAGGGCUCUGCCCUAUGGAGAGGCCUUCGAUAUUCCGCCUCUAGGUCAAAUGUGGUGGAAAUCCAUCUGCAAGCUCAGAAGUUAUCAGGAAGAAGCCAGCAGGGGCAGCCACUCGACAGUUCUCCUUUCCAUAACAAAUCAGGUUAAAAUCUGCAGGAGCAGGCUUGAUUGACUAGAGGGAUCAAUCCAGUACAGAAACAAAUGCCCCGGCAUGCUUUGCAGGGAGCCUGGACACAGAGACAACGUUUGCAUGAAUGAGACCUGCCAGGUCCACUGGUGCCAGUGAACAAACUACUUAUGGCAGUGCCCAGUCAGACAAGCUGCCAGGAAAGCCAGGAAUUUCCUUUCACCUGCUUUCUGCUUGACUUGGUUUACCAACACUAUACAUCCAAGAGAAAAAAAAUUAAUGUGCAUUUUCUCUUCAGGGGCACUUGUGUGAAAAACAUGUGUCUGCCUGUCAUCAUCCCUGGGUGAGCCCACGGCCACCAAUCCCUGGGUCACAGCUCCCCAAAACCAAGAGAAACAGCUGGCGGGACAAAGCCAGGGCAGCCCUAAACAUGCCACAUCACCCCAGUGCUAUGCGAAGGAAGCUUCAGGGGCAUCUUCAAGGAAGUGUGUGAAUCUGAGUAAAUUUUACAGAUUAAAACUUUUACAAAUUGUAUAAAAUUUUAAUCAUUCCAAUUCAGCAUUUAGAAAAAUACUUGUUUAGUGGGAAAUUUAUAGCUAUAAACGCCUAUCCACAAACAAAGAAAUGCUUAAAAUCAAUGACCUGAAGUUCCACCUUAAAAUGCUAGAAAGAGAAGAGCAAACAUAACACAAAGUAAGUGUUAACAAAAACUAAAGAACAGAAAUCAAUGAAAUAAAGAGCAGAUGACAGAGAAAUUUAGCAAAACCAAAGUUGGUUCUUUGAAGAGACUGGCAAACUUGAUAAACUCCAAUUUUAUAGAAUGAUCUAUAGAAUGAUCAAGAAGAGCGAAAGCACAAGCUAGCAAGGCCAGGAAUGGAGGAGGGUCAUCAUAACAGACCCUACAGGCAUCAGGAGAAUCAGCAGCAGAUGGUCAUUGUCCUGUUAGGGCUCAGACUCAAGACAGCUUUUUGGACAGAAACCUGUGUAUCAAUUGUGAUAGUUACAUGGGUAUUUCCAUUUGUUAAAAAUGCAUAAUUUUGUUGGAUGUACAUUAUGCUUCAAUGAACUUGAUAUCAACAGUAAAAAGAUUUUCCUGCUUUCUUAAGCAGAGAUAAGUUUUCAUGUUCCUCUGCCAUAAAUUCAGACAUUCAUUACACUUUUCUCUAAUUCCACACACUGUGAGGCCCUUGGGAGGUGAGUGCUGGUUGCUUCUGCCACAGUGAAUGCCCAUAGCAGGGAGCAGUUGGACCCAUCCUCUCCCCAGGGUCAACCCACACUUUUCCUUGGUGCCAGCCCUCACCCUCCAAGCCUCUGGUAUGUGGCUUCCACCAGCUGCAGCCUAGGAAGCCGUGACAUCAACAGGGUUGGCUCUGGGGCUGCCCAGGCCUCUGAAGGAGAUGGGUGUCCUUGUGCUGUCAGGAUCAGGUGCUCUGAGAGGGCCUGGGAGUCACCUGUGCUUUCCCCAGGCAGUAGCCACACUUAGGAGGAACCGGAGGUUGUCAGAUGAAUGAGCAAGGUGCCCUUUGGGGCCCACUAGGCUCUGGGAUCUCUCAUGACCAGACACGCAUUUUUGCCUUUGUUUAGGCAAAUAGAGCCAUACACAUAAUUAUUUCAGUUGGGCCAAAUCUGUAAAAGGAAAAAAGAAAGAUUUGAAAACUCACUCAAAAUGAUGCAUUUUGGGAACAGGAAUUUUACAAAACCCAAUCAAAUAUUUGUCGGAUACCCACCAUGUGAAGUCACUGUCCCAAGCCUUGUGGGGGACACGAAAAUGAACAAAGCAAUCCCCUGCCCUCAGGGUCUCACAACAGCCCAACCAAGGCUGUGUACCUCCCGUGCUGAGAGCUGGGCCUGAGCCUCGUGUCGGGGAGACCUGGAGAUAUUCCUGGGGAAAGGCGGCAUCACGCUGAGGCCUUUGGUGGACAGAGAAAAAAACCUCAAGAUAUUUACCCAGCUUUCCACUCAAUGUCCCAAAGUACUAAGGCUUCUUCAAGUUAGUUUUUCCUUCCUAAAUCAGGCUCGUGUUGCUCGCAGUUUCUCCGCCCAUGGAAAGCUCACCUCAGUAGAUGCUCAGCUGUGCCAGGCAUCUCUCGUCCUCCCGGGGUGGCUGGGGGCAUUGACUUUUGCCCACCGUGAAACCUGCACUCUGCACACAGGGCCGGCUGUCCCGCGUGCCCGCUGCGGUCGGUUCCAAGCUGCAGGAGUGACGUCUGGAGUCUGGUUCUCGGGACCUGCCCAUGUCUUCAUCGCACAGAUUCGCCUCAGGUGGAGGGAAUGGAGGGGCUGCUGUGAGACCGUGAGUUUCUCCAGAGGACUUUGACGUCCUCCUGGUCCCCCAGGGUUUACGUAAGUGGUGUCUAGAGCAGAAGAAAGACCGUGAUGGGAAGGAACUGGUGAUUCUUACAGCUGGCGUGGAGUUCUCACCUGAGCCCUCUGAGCUCUCUGCGUCUGCCGCUUGCUUUUCUACCCUGGUGAGUCUUUGCUCAGGCCGAGUCUCGCUCUUUUUUGGUAGAGGCAUUUUGAUGUCAUAGGAGUUUGUUUUGGUGAUAAGGCCACCUUUAAUCAAGGACCUUCCAUCCCUGCUGAGAUGAUAAAAGACCUUGUGUCUUUUCCAGCAAGUCCUUUCUGGUAUAAAGUGUCUGAUUCCUGCAGAAUCUCCAUUCUGUCUCUGAGGCGUGUCUUUUUUAGUGAAUUUGCUUUUGAUCCUUUCUGUGCACCUAAUUUGAUAUUUUGUUUGAUGUGGCUCUUUUCUCUUGCUUGUUUCUGGAAAUCUUCUAAGAGCAAAAAUAAGCAUUCUAAAUGCUGGACACAGGAUGGCUCACUAAAAGCCACUAGAGUGGUUGCCACUAUCUAAAACACUGGUCCAGACUCCUGACAUUCUCUUGAGAGGAUUUAUAGGAUUUUUUUGCUCUCAAGAGAUUAAUAAGGAACGGAACGGGAUUCUCAAACAUGAAGAUGUGCCAGGUAUUCUGGGACUCCAGCUGUCUGUAUUGUGGCCCAUUCUCAUGCACAUUUUUAAACUGAAGGGGCAAAUUACACCAAGGAAAAUUCAGAGCUCAGUGGUCAUUAUCCGAACUUUCUAAAAGAAGAUUCUACAACUAUAGAGUUAGCAUUGUAAGUCCUCUAUUUUUUUUUCUGCUUAUGUCCAAUCUGCUGACCCUUCUGUUGGUAUUGAGAUAAAACUCACUGCUUAUGAUACUCCAGCCAAGGUUCUUUUAAAAAAGUCUUAAAGGGCUUUCAAAUUACUGGCUUUACAAAUUACAACAGCUCCAUGGUAACCAACAACCUAGACACUUUUUGAAAAUGUAAAUUUAGAUUUGCCUAACAGUUGCUUAGGGUGAUGGAACAGUUAAUUGAAGGACUGAUAGUCUAAAAGGAAAGACCUAGAUAAAUGUUUAUAAAAGUUAGGCUCUGAGAUCAAACAGGUCAAAAUCUGGAGCUCAGAGCAGUAAUACAAUUUUUUAUAUCUCUGGCAUAAACAUUGCUUUUUCUGUCAUGCAGGAGCCAAGGGAAAAAAGCUCCCAAAACCUGCUAAAAUGUUUCCCACCUGCAUUGACCAGUCAGGGGCAAGGAAACCAGACUGCAGACAAAAGGCAGAUGUUUUACUAAUUCAAGGCUACUUGGACAUUUUCUUUUUCCUUUUAUAAUUCAGCCAGUUCAAGGUAAAACAUAAACAUUAAAAAUUUAACACUAAACUCAUUUGAAACAAACAAAAAUGUUUUUUAAAACCAAACUGCUUAACCCAACACUUUGCUGCACAGCCUUCAUUAGACUAUCUGCAGGGCAAAGAAAGUUUUCACCAUGUGAACAGUUCCCAUUUUGUCAGAAAGAUAAUUUGGAUCCACCUAUCAUUUAUGAACCAGUGAGUUCGUAUAUUUUACUGUCUCAUGACUAAAAUUCUACAAUGAAAGCUAUGAGAGCUUUGUGUAUGUAUAUACCUCUAGGUGUGUUUCUGCAUAUGUGCAUGUAUUAUGUUUUAUGUUGUAUCUACAUGGUGAAAUCUGGCAGAGUGGGCCAGAAGUCCCUAAGAAAUUCCAUUGAGAUUUGCUGAAAUGAGUGCUCAUAUAAAGUAUACAGCUAUUAACCUAAAUGUCUUCUAUUUCAUGUGACCUAAGUAGAUCUUUGAUAAAUAAGCUGGUUUAAAAAUCAUUGGUAAAAUAAAACUGGAAGUAUCUUCAAAA